CAGUAGAAAACAUACGUGUACUUUUGACGAUUUGGAGCAGGGUUGGGUUUUUGUUUGUUUGCUUUUGUUUUUGUUUUUAGCUUAUUUAUUUGAAAGAGAGAGUGAGAGAAGGGGAAGGGGUGUAAAGGGAGAGGGAUGGGGCAGAGGGAGAAGAAUAAUCAGUCUCCCUGCUGAGCAGGGAGCCCCAUCUUGUCUCUAGGCUGAUUAUCAUCCAAGGACCCUGGGAUCAGGACUUGAGCUGAAGGCACGUGCUUAAUGGACUAAGUCACCCAGGUCUCCCUGGAAAAUUGUUGUUUCAAGGGCCAUGUGGAAACUGCAACUCCUGCCGUUAUUGAUGUUAAAUAUUUAUCAAACAAUUCUACCAUUCCUCAUUGUUGGGCUUAUACCCAGCACAGGGUCAGGGUCAGCAAUCAAUCACUAUUUGUGGAAUAAACAAAAUCAUUCAUUUCUUCA